UUAAAUUUUAGUUGUAACACCGGUGCGUACGUGGUAGUGUGUAGUUAGUUCUACAGAACUGUCCCGCGUAAAAUUAUCAGCUAACCGCUGGGAAAACGUGCGAGAAAAAUGAUAUUCUAGUAUUUUUUUUUAUUUAGUCACUAAUUUAGGAUUCUCUUUUUAAAUGUCAUCAAAUAGUGGCGGUCACAAUGAAAACAUCAAGAGUAAUGGUAAAGACAUACUCCUUGGAAAAUUGGGCUCAAAAUCAUUAGAAAAUAAUGACUACUAUAGAUCCUCAGUGCCUUCAGAAGAGCAAAGUUGUGGUGAUUUAAAGAAGCAUCGACCUUUAUCUAAAUCAGAUUUUGAUCUUAGUUAUCCAGAAGACUUAGACAUCCUGUGUAAAAAAUUUGCUUCUAUUGAACGUCAUAUUACAACUGAGAGCUUUGCAUCAUCAUCGUCACCUAGUACACCGGGUCAUGGAUGUUGUCCGUCAGCUAUACAGCCAUCUUCUUGUGCCACUGUCACUACGCAGUCGACUAUACAAACUAUUAAUGUAGUCCAAAUGACGCAUUCAUUUUUCACCUCGCUUAAAGAAAAAUGGUCCAGAAGUAGAAGCAAAGCUCGAGGUUCAGAUACAGAUGAGUCUCCUUCACAAUCACCUAUAUUAUCGAGAAUUAUUCGUCCAGACGCACUACAACAGCUAAAGAGUACUGAUAAUAAAAGUUCUCAAAACAAUGUCACGACUGAGUUUGGAUUGUCUCAUAAUUGGUUUCAAAAAGUCGUCUCACGUGAUACUCAGCUUCGAUUACGAAGACAAAAUUCUAUACGAUCUGAACAGUGUGAAAUAACCACUCCGGAAGGAGACAAUCCAUACCAGAACGAAGAAUUACUUAAAAAGCAUGAAUAUUUUCAACUUAAAAUUCAUUUAAAAAAAGGAAAAGAUCUUAUUGCACGUGAUAAAAACGGUCUUAGUGAUCCCUAUGUUAAGUUUAAAGCUAAUGGAAGGUUAAUUUAUAAGUCAAAAAUUGUUUACAAAAGUCUGAACCCGUCAUGGGAUGAAACAUUUACAUAUCUCCUAGAUAAUCCGUUUGAACCUGUCUAUAUAAAGGUAUUUGAUUAUGAUUGGGGGCUUCAGGAUGAUUUUAUGGGUGCUGUUAAAGUUGUGUUGUCAUCUUUAGAAUUGGGCAAACAACAUGAGCUUUGUCUUCAAUUAAGAGAUUCUCAGAAUACUGAGUAUUUAGGAGAGAUUUGCAUCGACGUAACUCUUUCUUCGCAAUCUAGAGAAGAACGAGAACAAAGUUUGCUCAAAUCGGCUAAAAUUUCAGAAAAUAGUAAAAAGUACAAAUGUCAAGUUUGGAAUUCUGUAGUUACAAUUGUCUUAAUAAAAAUAAAGAAUAUCAAAAUGAAUAGUGGAUUAUGCGAUCCUUAUGUUCGAUUUAGAUUAGGCGGUGAAAAGUAUAAAAGCAAAUCAAGUAGUCGUUUGCCUACGCCCACUUGGCUAGAACAAUUUGACUUGCAUUUAUUCGAUGACCAAACUCAAGAACUAGAAAUCAAUGUUUGUGCCAAAGAACGAUCCCGUGAGGAUAUCGUUGCAAGUGCAAUCAUUGAUUUGAGUAAACUAGAACGGGAAAGGACUCAUAAAAUUAAACACAAAUUGGAUAUCGAAGGCUAUGAGUCUACAAGUUUAUUGUAUUUAUUACUAACUAUUAGUGGUACUUCAAAUAUCGAAAUGAUAUCGGAUCCCACUGAAAAGAAAAUCACCGAACAAGAUCAUAUAAAACAGAAAUACUCCACAUUUAAGACUUUUUGUGAUCUACGAGACAUUGGUAUGCUUACUAUUCAAGUGUACAAAGCUCAAGGAUUAACUUCGGCAGACUUGUGUGGUAAAUCAGAUCCUUUCUGCGUCUUGGAACUAGUAAAUACUCGGCUACAGACUCAUACUGAAUACAAAACUCUAUCACCAAAUUGGGAUAAAAUAUUUAUUUUUAAUGUGAGAGACAUUAACUCUGUGCUUGAAGUGACUGUAUUUGAUGAAGAUCCAGAUUAUAAAGUAGAGUUCUUAGGCAAAGUUGCUAUUCCAUUAUUAUCUAUCAAAAAUGGAGUUCAAAAGUGGUAUUCAUUGAAAGAUAAAAAGCUAAGAUUUCGAGCAAAAGGAAACAAUCCGAGAAUUCUAUUAGAAAUGCAUCUUAUAUGGAAUCCGAUCCGUGCAGUAAUUAGAACUUUAAAUCCAAAAGAAGAAAAAUAUAUGCACCAAGAAAUAAAAUUCAAAACACAAACUUUGAUAAAUAAUGUUAUGCGACUAAAGGAAAUAGUUAUGUGGCUGAUCGAUAUUGGAAGAUUCUUUGAAUACUGGGCAGAAUGGGAAUGUCCUUUACAUACAAUAAUAUUUUUGAUUGUAUUUGUCAUAAUUUGUCAAUUUUUUGAACUAUACAUGGCUCCUAUUGUUCUAAUACUGAUAUUCUUAAAAUUUUACUUUACAUACGUAUGGAAUAUAAAUAAAAGUUUUGAGGACGAUGAUGAACAACAGACUGACGAUGAUGACCUAGAUGACGAUCAUGAUCAAGAUGACGACAAAUCUAAAGAUGAAAAGAAGACAUUAAAAGAAAGAGUAGUAGCUGUACAAGAAGUGACCCAAUUAGUUCAAAAUACCAUCGGUGAUAUAGCCUCCCUCGGAGAAAAAGUGAUAAACCUUUUAAAUUUUUCAGUUCCAUUUUUAUCAUACUUAUCUAUUAUACUUUUGAUGGCCGUUGCUAUCGUCUUAUAUUAUAUUCCAAUUCGGUAUAUUAUAAUGGUUUGGGGCUUAAACAAAUUUACAAGAAAAAUACUCCGGCCUAACGUUAUACCGAAUAAUGAAUUAUUGGACUUGUUGUCUAGAGUACCAGAUAAUGAAGAAAGGUACCGAAUGGAAUACUCUUUCAAAAAAAAAAAAGUUAAAACAAACAAAAACAAAUGAAGAAUAUUGAUUUGAAAAUUCAAUAAAUAAUAAUUAAGGUUUAUUGGUUAGUUAAAUAGAAAUAUUACAAGGAGUUCAAAACUGAUGAAAAUUUCGAAGGAGAUAAAAUUAAUAAGGAUUUUAAGAAGAAAUAAAAUCUGUGAUUACAAUGUAAUUUAUACAUUCUAACAAG